UACAAUUGGUGAAGCAAAACAUUGUUACUUUAAAUCAACAAAGGGAGGACUGCUAUAAAACUAUACUACUUGGAACAACGCCAUCUGUACCAAGACCAUUUUGGAAAUUUAACCGGCAAUCAGCAUUUUGGAACAAGAGCUGUCACCCGGAAAAUGUUUUUAAAACACAUUUUCGUGUAACUCGAAACAGUUUUACAGUUCUGUGAGUUGUUAAAAUCUUUACAAAAAAAGGACUAAUUGGCGUAAAAUGGUUCCGCUUGAUAAAAGAAUCGCAAUUAUUUAUGUGCGUUAGGAUCUUCAGGGGAAUACAGAGCAGUGUGUGAAUUAUUUACCGUUGGCAAAUCUACAGUAUGCACUAUUGUAUUGGAGUUUUGCAGAAUUAUAUGGGAAGUAAUGUCACCUAUAUAUUUAAAAAGAUUUCCAUUAAUACAAGAAACCGUGGCAGAAUGUGUAAAAGGUUUUGAAUUUCUCAGAUUCCCACAAUGUUUAGGAACCCUUGAUGGAUGCCAUAUUAAACCCAAACCCAGAGGAUGCAGUUGAUUAUUAGUUUUUUUAGCUUUAGUGGAUUUCAG